AGUGUUUCUUACGCCCUCUGCAUUUUUUACGGUGAACACAAGGCAAAGAUGAUAAAGUCGGCAUAGUCCGGAAGGCAGUAAAUAUUUAACGAUCACUUAUUUUCGCAUCCUAAUUUCGAGGUUAUUUAGGUAGAAUUAUUUAAGAAAUGAAAAAACUGUCUAAGGCUUUUUACCUUCACCAGACCUGGGAUCGGUAAGACUAGGAAUUGGAGCGUAAAAAAAUCGCAGAUGCGAACUAAAUAAUUAUGUAAAAACGGACGUACUUAUCUCGACUCGUCUUGUACCAUGGCACGCAAAGCUGUACAGAAGGAGAGGGCGUUGGACACGAACUGAAAUGAUAUCAACCAGUUAUUUAUAUACGUAUUAUUCGUAAUUAACCUGUUAAUCAGAGAAAGUUUCUUCUCUGCGGACCAGUGCAUAUUAUAUAUUUAUAUCCAAACAGAGAAUAAGAAUGCAAGGAAAUAUAAAAACAUAUAUGCUGACAAAACAUUACGUAAAUAUCGAUAGUCUAUUGACUAUUAUAAUUGACAAAAGAGACAUUGGUUUCUCUUACCGAACAAAAGAAACGCAAAUUAAGUUCCGGCAUAAAACAACCGACAGAAAGUGUUACCGGUUUUUGAUGAACCAACACGUUGAGCAUGUAUUUUCGUAUUUCUGAAGACUGUUCGUACCAGUCCAUGUCGUAUACGCUUUGCGAAACGUUCACACUCUGAAAAUUAUGCAAGAUUAAUUAUAUGCGACAAAAAUAUAAUUUAAUUUAUAACGUAAGGAAUUUUGUAAAAGAUAGAAAUAUUAAUCUUAGAAAUAUUAUCAACAUUGUAAUCAAUCGAACAGCUUCGACGAUGGAUAUUUUAUUGCGUAUUUUUUAUAUGGAAGUCUAUGUGUUUUAAAAUCCGACGACAGUUGAAAAUAAUUUCCAGUGAGGAGGACGAGAAGUUCCAUUUUGAUUUGGUCUGCGUUUGACAAUAAGUCUGUGUCGAUAUGUUACCAAAUAAUUCGAAGAUAUGCACGGGAUGUUUUUAUCCGAUGCAUGAAACUUUUUACAGUUACUAUCUUUAUAAUAAUCGCACACAGAUACUUACAGCGUCUUGCAAAUAAUCAGCUGGCCACGCAUACAUGAAUGUGAGGAUGAGACAGAAGACACUAGAGUUAACGAGCUCCAUUUUCGUAGUUAUUGGAGAAUCCUGUUUACAAAUUGAAUCACCGAUUCCUUAUACUAUACAUAAAAUACCAGAAGAUUCACAUACCAUUAUCAUCAAAAUCCCACACAGAGCUAUGGUAAACGUCGUCAUUCCCAAAACAUAAAGUACUAUAAAGCGAAAACAACCGACCACUUCCUCCGCGUAUCUAGACAAAGGGAAAUUACUUAAACAAAGAUAAAUGUUUGGCUUAAAUCAAACAACGUAAAACAUUAUCUAUACCUUCUUAAAAACAAUUCUUUCUUAAUACAAAUGAUCAACAUACGAAUAUUCGUAAUUUUCCCAAUUUCCACGACUAAACAUUCGAAUCUUGCAGCGGCGAACCACAUUAAGAGAGCACCAACCACGCCUAUGCAUAAGUGUGCAGUGACGGUGAGACAUACGCUGCUGUGAUGGUUGGAAUCGGUAAGACCAAAGGCCCAACCAUAAAAAAGGUUAGCGACGCAUAAACAGCCACUACAUAAGCACUGUAAAGGACGUUGCAUUUUACUAUAUGUGCGAUGAAAAUUUCUCUUUCGAACUGCUGCGCCUCGUUCACACAUUUCACCAUCUCUCCAAUUAUACGCUACAACAUGUUUCAAACAUCAAUGCUUCCGACGCGAAUUAAUUGCUGAAGGAACGCGAGGUCGAACUUACUUGCAGCGAGUCGCGCUUCUUCCAACAUAUACAAGUCUGAAUAACUAGUUGGGUGGAGUAUAUCGUUAAGGUGAUACAUUUGAAAAGAGCGUCCAAGUAGAAACUUAUAUCGCCUAAGUACAAAUAAAUCGAGUACAACGAAGGCACGAGAAUCAGAAAAGCGUUGAUGACAAUACAGAUUUGUGCAAUUUUGUAACUGCCGCGGUUUCUGUCGCUAUUGUCAGCAGAUGGCCAACAAAAGCUUAAAGCUACACUGAGCCGAGUAAACUGGAUUACAUCUUCCGGCGUUAUUUGUUUCGACAUAAUCUCAACAAACUUUUACAUCUAAUGAAUCGGACUAAACACGUUUCAAUUCGCACAGUAGGGAGAUAUGUCCAGGUUCUGGGGAGCCAGGUGCGAAUCAAUAAAUGAUACUGAAAAUACGCAGGAACAACUCGUGUUUAUUGGAAAGUACGGAGUUCUUGUACUGUUAGAUGCUUCGAUGAACCUUCUUCGAAAAUGGUAUAUGUGCACGAUGCCAUAUAUUUAGUAUCUUGGGCGAUAUGUAUAGCUAAGAGUAAAAUAACAACGAAGUUUUCCAUCUAAACAUCUGGUAGUUGUAUCGACUUAUAUUUCUUUGAGGAUGAGUCUGGAUGAUUUCUCAUGACAUCGUUGUAAAAAACGGGUGAUUUGUGAUUACAAACGUAGCCAAUGCGAAGACAUUUGACGCGGUCGUCUGUCUGUUCAGUACCAUCGAUGGAAAAAAUAAUGGACAACUCGUAACCCUACACAACGAGUAAUUAGAACACUAUCAAAAAACGUAAUGACCGUAGAGUUUUUUUACUGAGUGACGACCUGAUUAACAGGAUAAUUUAUUUAUUUCCCAGUUCUUUGCCUUCGGACUCAUUACACACUUAUAUCGGAUGUAUGUAAAUACGCAACAAGUAAGAAUGCACGAAAGUGUGUAAAUAUAUACACUGUCAAAACGAAUGAUAGUACAUAAAUAUCGAUAAUCUAUUCACGAUCAUGAUUGACAUUGGAGAUAUUGAUUUGCCUUACCGAACAAUAAAAACGUAAAUUAAGCUCUGGCAUAAAGCAACCGACAGAAAGCGUUACUGGUUUCUGAUGGACCAAUACGGUUCGAAGAUCGUUAGUUACAAUUUCGAGUGCAAAGAACAUGAAGUACAAUUUAUAAAUAAAUAUAUAUAUAUAUAUAUAUUUUUUUUUUAACGCAAAAAUUCACGUACGAGAUGCUUUUAUUCGUUUCAUAAACUUUUUCUUUGCCACUUGUCUUGCAAUUAUCGCACAUAAAUACUUACGGCAUCUUGUAAAUAAUCAGCGGGCCACGCAUACAUAAAAGUGAGUAAGAGACAGAAAGCACUAGCGUCGAUGAGCUCCACUUUCGUAGUUACUGGUGAAUCCUGUAAAUGCCAUAAUUUAAAUUCUGCGAAAUUGUAUCAUCGAUUCAUUAUACCGUACAGGAAAUACCAGAAGAUCCACAUACCAUUAUCAAUAAAAUUCCACAUAGAGUUAUAGUAAACGUUGUCAUUCCCAACACAUAAAGUAUUAUGAAGCGAAAACAACCAACCACUUCCUCGGCGUACCUAGAUAGAGGGAAACCGUUUACAACGAACACAAAUGUCUCAGUUAAAUCACACAUGUUUUCUGAAUUUCCACGACUAAACAUUCGAAUCUUACGGCAGCGAACCACAUUAAAAGCGCACCAAACACGCCUAUGCAUAAAUGUGCAGUAACGGCGAGGCACACGCUGCUGUGAUGCAAGUAGACGAUAAAAUUUACUGGCAUAUAAUUCACUUGAAACGGAUACUCCACUUCCACUAGGGUUGGAAUCGGUAGGACUAGAGGUCCAAAUAUAAAAAAGAUUUCGCACUACACAUCACUAUGGGGUUCGAUGCCAUGAUAACUUCCUCCGAGCAAAGGAUAGUGUUAAUAACAAUAUUUCUCGCAUCUAAUGGUGAAUUGCAUACAUUUUUAUUCCUCUGAUCACUCAAUCACAUUUUUUUUAGCGAAUUUUUGUACUUCAUUUAUUAGACCAGGAUAACGUCUCCUUGCAUAUCGCGUCUACGAUGUGAUUAAAAUUUUAUAUCGAUAAUAUUAAUUGGUAUAAUUUGAAUAAAAUCAGGAUUUACUCAAUAUCGAUAUUUGUAAAAGUUGUAAAAAUAAAAAAUAUGAAUAUGAAAUGGCACGAACGGCCAUAGGCUAAUAUUAAUAAGGCUAUGAUAAUAGGGCAGAAUAUGUGUCUUAUACUUUAGUAAUUGAAGUUAAGAAUUCCAUACCACACAUGCUGUAAUGUAAUAAAUAAAAUUUGUGUUCUUUAUAAAUAUA